rnacentral:rRNA from 1 species
CACGUAGGGGCCAAGCGUUGUCCGGAUUUAUUGGGCGUAAAGGGCUCGUAGGCGGCCAACUAAGUCGGAUGUGAAAUCCCCAGGCUUAACCUGGGAACUGCAUCCGAUACUGGAUGGCUUGAAUCCGGGAGAGGGAUGCAGAAUUCCAGGUGUAGCGGUGAAAUGCGUAGAUAUCUGGAGGAAUACCGGUGGCGAAGGCGGCAUCCUGGACCGGCAUUGACGCUGAGUGAGCGAAAGCCAGGGGAGCAAACGGG